AGUGAACGCUGGCGGUAGGCCUAACACAUGCAAGUCGAACGGCAGCACAGUAAGAGCUUGCUCUUACGGGUGGCGAGUGGCGGACGGGUGAGGAAUACAUCGGAAUCUACUUUUUCGUGGGGGAUAACGUAGGGAAACUUACGCUAAUACCGCAUACGACCUACGGGUGAAAGCAGGGGAUCUUCGGACCUUGCGCGAUUGAAUGAGCCGAUGUCGGAUUAGCUAGUUGGCUGGGUAAAGGCCCACCAAGGCGAAGAUCCGUAGCUGGUCUGAGAGGAUGGUCAGCCACACUGGAACUGGGACACGGUCCAAACUCCCAAGGGAGGCAGGCGUGGGGAAUAUUGGAGAAUGGGCGCAAGCCUGAUCCAGCCAUACCGGGUGGGUGAAGAAGGCCUUCGGGUUGUAAAGCCCUUUUGUUGGGAAAGAAAAGCAGCAGGUUAAUACCCCGCUGUUCUGACGGUACCCAAAGAAUAAGCACCGGCUAACUUCGUG
rnacentral:rRNA from 1 species